rfam:Beta vulgaris subsp. vulgaris Bvchr8.sca018.con0289.1, whole genome shotgun sequence.
CCGACCUUAGCUCAGUUGGUAGAGCGGAGGACUGUAGGUGUUGAAGCAAUAGCAGAUAAAUCCUUAGGUCGCUGGUUCGAAUCUGGCAGGUCGGA